UACGUAGGUCCCGAGCGUUGUCCGGAUUUAUUGGGCGUAAAGCGAGCGCAGGUGCUUUAUUAAGUCUGGUGUAAAAGGCAGUGGCUCAACCAUUGUAUGCAUUGGAAACUGGUAGACUUGAGUGCAGGAGAGGAGAGUGGAAUUCCAUGUGUAGCGGUGAAAUGCGUAGAUAUAUGGAGGAACACCGGUGGCGAAAGCGGCUCUCUGGCCUGUAACUGACACUGAGGCUCGAAAGCGUGGGGAGCAAACAGG
rnacentral:rRNA from 1 species